CCUACGGGAGGCAGCAGUGAGGAAUAUUGAGCAAUGGGCGCAAGCCUGACUCAGCAACGCCGCGUGGGUGAUGAAGGCCUUCGGGUCGUAAAGCUCUGUCAGAGGGGAAGAAAUGCAGGUGGUGAACAACCAUUCUGUUUGACGGUACCCUCAAAGGAAGCACCGGCUAACUCCGUGCCAGCAGCCGCGGUAAUACGGAGGGUGCGAGCGUUGUUCGGAAUUAUUGGGCGUAAAGCGCGUGUAGGCGGUUUGUUAAGUCGGAGGUGAAAGCCCCGGGCUCAACCGGGAAAGUGCAUUGGAUACUGGCAGACUUGAGGACGGGAGAGGAGAGUGGAAUUCCCAGUGUAGGAGUGAAAUCCGUAGAUAUUGGGAGGAACACCGGUGGCGAAGGCGGCUCUC
rnacentral:rRNA from 1 species